GGGCGUGUGGCUCAGUUGGUAGAGCGUUCGCUUAGCAUUUCUAGGAGUCUCUUGAGAUUCUCGGUUAUGCGAAAGGUCCUGGGUUCGAUUCCCAGCUCGUCCA